AAUGACUCUCAGCAACGG
rnacentral:rRNA from 1 species